AAUUCCAUUGCGACACUCCUCUCGCAACGCCAGCAAUAGUUUUACCAACUAAAGUUAGUACUUCCUGUACGUCGUCUAAACUAGGCUUCACGGUCACCACCGGUAUCAUUAAUGUUGCAUGAAGCAGAAAUAUUGGAUUCGACACGGCAUUUCGAACCAUGUCUUGCAUUCCUUUCGGUAAGCUACCAGGAGUAACCAACAGCUGAUGAGGAUCGUCGAAUAAAUUCCAAACUAAGGACCAAUCUUGUUGAACUGUUUGGUCCACUACCUCUUCAUUUUCUGUAAGCUCAUCGUACAUAAAAGUUAUGAUUGGGAAAUGUGCAAAAAGAAAAAAGUAAGAAACGUGGAUUAAAAUAUUAUAAAUGAUAUUUAUAAUCUAUUUUUUAUAUAAUUGGUUUAAUUCUUAUUGGAAAUUGAUUAGAGUCGAAAAGAAACAGAGGCGUACCAUCGUAAAAACUUUUUGAAAAAUAUCCAAAACAGAAUUGCAUUAUGUAUUAGUGAAGCUCACUUGCAAAAUUUUUACGAUGAAAUUUUUCAUUUUCACGCUGAUAUAUGAAAACAAAUUUCCUGGCUAUUUCUAUAUUUAAUUAUGGAAGAAACUAGUUUUUCAGAUAAUGUCACAUAUCACCUUCGCUAUUAAAAAAUUCGAAUUGACUGGAAUUAGCAGCAGCUUUGAAAUUCUCUGCCGCGUUCUUAACAAGAUCUAGUACUUCUUCCACAGCCUCUUCCACCAUCAUACUUUUACGAUAUAAAUCUACCGCUGCCAGUCUGCAUACUUCUUCAGUCUUUUCUACAAAUUCCUCUAUAGUCCAAGGCUGAUCAGAUUCUGGCAUAGAAUGUAACGUUAUCUUUUGCAUAGCUGCCAGCACCUGUAAAAUCCUUGAAACAAGGGAAGGGAACUUUUAUUUGAUUUUAUAAAUACCUAUGAACUUAUGCAGAACGAUCAAUGAUGAAAAUCUGGAAUCCUUAUCAUUGUAAGAAAUUUUCUUUAACUGUCAAAUAUCAGCAAAAUUAUUACAUCUGUAUAACAAAAAUACCUCUUUUAAUUCUAAUAAGAAUUUGUAGAAAAGUAAAAUAGACGAAAAUUAAGAGACACUAAAGAAAGACAAAGGCAAACGAGUAAUAUAAUAUAUGCUUAUCUAAAAAAAGCUAUUGUAAUUUAGAAAGGUACGAUUUGCAAAAAGUUUAAAAAGAAAUGUACCUAUUGUCGUACACAUCGUGAACCCUUGUAAUAAGGAUAUCAAAUUCCUUGAUCUGCUGUUUUGUGUUCUGAUAGAAGUUUCUCCAUUCUGGAUUGGUCCAAUUCAGAGAAGUCAAACCAGGUUCCAACAAAGAUGCAACUCGCACCAAAUGCGGUAGUAACAAUGGCCUCACUUCAAGUUUCACACGUCUGGCCGUAAAGACGAACUCUUCGAUCAUCAAUUGGAGAGAGUCUGUGACCAAUGUGAAAUAAU